AAGGAAAGUCUAUAAUUUAAUAAUUUAUGUAUAAUAUUUAAAUGUAAGUUAAGGUUUUUAAUAGAGAAUAUAAAUGAGUUAAUAAAUAUUGUUAUGGCAUAAGCUAUUGGUCUCCUGCUACCCUUAUCCACUAUUUGAGUUUUGCAAUGCAGUUUAUACAUAAUAUAUAUAAACUGCGCUUGCGCUAGACAUAACUGUGGAAAGUGGGAAAUAAAAUGAAAUAACUUAUUUUGGAAAAUCAAGCUCAUGUAAAAUCUUUUUUUAGUAAGAAAUUAUUACAAGAUAUAGCUUAA
rnacentral:RNase_P_RNA from 1 species